CACAAUGGAAAAAUGAUUGCGGUAAAAAAAGAAUAUUAAAAGUCUCCGAAUUUGCAGAUGAAACUCUAUGCUCUAUAGCAUAUCAGUUUCUUGAAAGCAAGAAUUCUCUCAGUUUUAGGUAAGAGAAUGAAUGCAAUAGCAAGAGAUUAGUAGAUAUCUUUCUUUCGUUAUUACAAAUGCACCAACUAGCCCCUUGAAUCUUCAAGUUGCAGAGUUUCAAGGAAUCGACGAGAUAAAGGUAUUAUAAGGUGCGAUAUUAAACAAAAAUUUUGGAGGCAAAUCUCUUAAUUCCUGUGCUGUUUAUUUGAGCUUUGUAAUCUUGCGCAGAGAAUAUGUUUUGCCUUAAAAGAAAAAGGAACUUUAUUCUUUUUCAAAUGUUUUCGGAAUCGGAUUUGGUCUUUUUGUGUUCAAAAGUUUUGAGAGGCAAAGCGAAAAUGAUGAUUUCUUUUGAAUCUGAAUUUAGGUGUGGAAUCGCAUCUCGUCGUAUUGGUCUUCAAAGUUCUCUGAUUGCUUUGCUUUAAGAAAAAAAGAAAAGACCAAAUCCGAUUCCGAAAACAUUU
rnacentral:misc_RNA from 1 species